UCCCAUGUGGCUCAGUUGGAAGAGCAUGGUGUUUUCAACGCCAAGGUUGUGGGUUAGAUUCCCACAGGGGAC
rfam:Salmo salar isolate Sally breed double haploid chromosome ssa20, whole genome shotgun sequence.